rnacentral:lncRNA from 1 species
AAUAAUGAUGGCACUGGGACCAGUGUGGGAGUGGCACUGGGACCAGUAUGGGGCUGGUGUGGGGCUGGUGCAUGGGUGGCACUGGGACCAGAAUAAGGGAGGCACUGGGACCAGUAUGGGGCUGGUACAUGGAUGGCACUGGGACCAGAAUAAGGGUGGCACUGGGACCAGUGUGGGAGUGGCACUGGGACCAGUAUGGGGACAGCACUGGGACCAGUAUGGGGCUGGUGUGGG